GGUCUGGUGGUCUAGUGGUAUGAUUCUCGCUUAGGGUACACCCUAUGGCUUAAUAUGCGAGAGGUCCCGGGUUCAAUCCCCGGCCAGACCC